rnacentral:rRNA from 1 species
CCGGAUAACCCGGCACCGGGUACGUAGCGCGGGACACGCGACGCCCUCGGUUGCCCGCGAAUUGCGUGACUAAUCCCCGAGAGGUGCUUGUCGGCGGUAGUCGCUCGCCGCCUGCGCCCCGAGCUCGGAGGUUGGGAUCGAUCGCUGCUCGCCUGCGCCCCGCUCGUCAUCGGCCGCUAUCACCAAUCGAAACGGCCGCCAUUCGUCGUCGGGUACGGGACGCGGGGUGCCGUUCGUCGUCGGUUCGGGGUGCGCGGUUGCUGUUCGUCGUCGUCGACAACCCGCCGCCUGGGAUCCGCGGAUCGCAGCCCUAAGCCUUCGUCGUCAGCCGUGGGCGCGGUCCUCGGUCAGCGGUGCUCGUGCGGCGGGUGCUCGAUCGCCGUAGGUCGUUUUAGUUCGAAGUUCGAAGAAGGCCAAGGUCGAAGCUCUUUCGAACCGCGGCGUGCGGUCCUUCCUUGGCUGAGUUUUGCGGACACGUGUCGUGGUGAGCGACCGCUACCUCUCCCAGCACCACCAGAGGCUCCUACGGCGGCGGAGCCAGAGGAGGCGGGGCAGGAGGAGGAAGCGCCUUUGGUCCCAGUAGACGGCGCAUACAGUCUUCGUCAAGCGUGUCAUGUGAACAGGUGCGACGUUGAGGGCGAUGACGAGCGANNNNNNNNNNNNNCCCGUAUCACACGUUACGUGACUUAGUAAAUACGCACUCUUACAAUGCCUCCUCGAAUUCGUUUAAGUCGGACUUCUACUUAGUUUUUCCUUCUACGAACUAUAUGAGUCUGCCAAGGUGAACCUUCUUCUUUACCUCAGGCUACCACUUCUAUUCAGUUACAACAGUCUCCUCGAAUAAGUCUUUCGGUAGAGACCACUGCUUUAGUUCGAACUCCUGGAGAGACUACUACUUUAGUUUGCUAAAGCAGUUCGAGACCGGAGACCACUUGAGUCGUUCUACUAACUUGGUACCUGAGGUACCACCUUUUUAGGAAGUCGAUUUAGCUAGAGAGAAUCAGUACUACCCUCGGUCGAAUAGUCUGUCUAUUCAUGUCUGCUAUGAUGAGAUAGUCUAGGUUACUGACGCAGUCUCAGAUAGUAGUUACUUUAUGGUCUUCCCGGUCUUAUAGGAGAGGGUAGUGAGUUUGUCGAUUGGUCCCGUCUCGGUAGAGGAGACGAGUGACAAGUGAACCAACUAUAAGAGAUGUCAAUGACGAAGUGCGAAGCGGAGAUGUUACCACUGACCGUCAGACUAGGAAACCCACGAAGUUGACAACGGAACAGAUACAGCUUUCAGUACCCCCUGCCGCGAUUCGGACUCUGUCAUAGACUUCGCGAGUGUUGUACGUAUCUCCUCUGUACGAGGGGUCGAAUGUCCGUGUGGCCUCCAAAGUCCAAACGAUAACCUGAACACCUACUAUAGCAGUGUUAGGAGAGGAAUCCUCCGUUACGUCACCAGACACGUAACACACUGAAGGUGUCCGAGUAGGUUCGACCACUCUCGUAGGAGUUCCUUCUGUUUCACCCGCUCUGCCUUUUCCGCGCCUCGAAGUUUUUCGAGGUACGGCGCCCAUCCUUCGACAAGAAGUACUGUACGACCCGAGUACUUGUCGGUUCACUCCGGACCGGCAGCAACCGAGCGUAGCAACUCCACGUCUUUCGCCGAAAACUCCUCGACCUGUCACCUUCGCCUGACUCCUUCCGUCCUUCUUUCUUGUUGGGCGUCAGGUUCCAAGAAUAGCUCCUCCACAUUCGUAUAGUUGCGUCAUGACGACCUUAUUGGCGUGAAACAAAAGAGCGGUGGGAAAACCAUAGAGAGUCGACAUAGUAAACUAGGAACACGGGAAGAAGUAGAAGUUCACGUCACCGAAUUUACAUAUUUAACAGUAGAAACCUUCUACACUAUCAAUGUAAAGACUUCAAGACUAUAAUUUCGCUGGACCAAUUAGUGUAAAGGAUCGCUUAUAACGAGUAUAGUUGUACGAUAGAC